UCUGAUGGAGCAACGCCGCGUGAGUGAAGAAGGGUUUCGGCUCGUAAAGCUCUGUUGGUAGUGAAGAAAGAUAGAGGCAGUAACUGGCCUUUAUUUGACGGUAAUUACUUAGAAAGUCACGGCUAACUACGUGCCAGCAGCCGCGGUAAUACGUAGGUGGCAAGCGUUGUCCGGAUUUAUUGGGCGUAAAGCGAGUGCAGGCGGUUCAAUAAGUCUGAUGUGAAAGCCUUCGGCUCAACCGGAGAAUUGCAUCAGAAACUGUUGAACUUGAGUGCAGAAGAGGAGAGUGGAACUCCAUGUGUAGCGGUGGAAUGCGUAGAUAUAUGGAAGAACACCAGUGGCGAAGGCGGCUCUCCGGUCUGCAACUGACGCUGAGGCUCGAAAGCAUGGGUAGCGAACAGGAUUAGAUACCCUGGUAGUCCAUGCCGUAAACGAUGAGUGCUAAGUGUUGGGAGGUUUCCGCCUCUCAGUGCUGCAGCUAACGCAUUAAGCACUCCGCCUGGGGAGUACGACCGCAAGGUUGAAACUCAAAGGAAUUGACGGGGGCCCGCACAAGCGGUGGAGCAUGUGGUUUAAUUCGAAGCAACGCGAAGAACCUUACCA
rnacentral:rRNA from 1 species